AGUGAACGCUGGCGGUAUGCCUAACACAUGCAAGUCGAACGGCAGCACAGUAAGAGCUUGCUCUUACGGUUGGCGAGUGGCGGGCGGGUGAGGAAUACAUCGGAAUCUACUUUUUCGUGGGUGAUAACGUAGGGAAACUUACGCUAAUACCGCAUACGACCUACGGGUGAAAGCAGUGGAUCUUCGGACCUUGCGCGAUUGAAUGAGCCGAUGUCGGAUUAGCUAGUUGGCGGGGUAAAGGCCCACCAAGGCGACGAUCCGUAGCUGGUCUGAGAGGAUGAUCAGCCACACUGGAACUGAGACACGGUCCAGACUCCUACGGGAGGCAGCAGUGGGGAAUAUUGGACAAUGGGCGCAAGCCUGAUCCAGCCAUACCGCGUGGGUGAAGAAGGCCUUCGGGUUGUAAAGCCCUUUUGUUGGGAAAGAAAAGCAGCAGGUUAAUACCCCGCUGUUCUGACGGUACCCAAAGAAUAAGCACCGGCUAACUUCGUG
rnacentral:rRNA from 1 species